GGGGAUGUGGCCUAGUGGUAGAGUGCUUGCCUAGUAUGCAAGAAGCCCUGGGUUUGAUUCCUCAGUACCA
rfam:Dipodomys ordii contig_71239, whole genome shotgun sequence.